rnacentral:rRNA from 1 species
CGCAUCUGUGCAUGCAGCAUAUCAAUAAGCGAGGAAAAGAAACUAACAAGGAUUCCCUAGUAACGGCGAGUGAAGCGGGAAGAGCUCAAAUUUGAAAUCUUAAAGGGUUUCCCUUUACGAAUUGUAGUUUAAAGAAGUGUUUUCUGUUGAGGUUUUGGUAAAGUUCUUUGGAAUAGGACAUCAUAGAGGGUGAGAAUCCCGUAUUUGACCUUUACUUUCAACUUUGUGAUACACUUUCAAAGAGUCGGAUUGUUUGGGAAUGCAGUCCAAAAUGGGUGGUAAAUUUCAUCUAAAGCUAAAUAUUGGCGAGAGACCGAUAGCGAACAAGUACCGUGAGGGAAAGAUGAAAAGAACUUUGAAAAGAGAGUUAAACAGUACGUGAAAUUGUCAAAAGGGAAGCGUUUGACACCAGUGUUGUUUUUCUGAAAAUCAAUUAAAGAACUGUUUAUGCUAAGUUGUUUAGACUUUAUCAGCUAUCUGUUUAGUUUUGAGCUUUUCUUUAAUGCACUUUUCAGUUAACAAGUCAACAUCAAUUUCUUUUGCUGUAAAAAAGCUUGAGGAAGGUGGCUUGAGAUUCGUCUUAAGUGUUUAUAGCCUCUUGCCUAUGCAGUCGGAGAGAUUGAGGUCUGCAGCGUAGAUCCUUCGGGGCUAAAUGCAUUUGUGCUAAGUUAUAGCAUUUUAUAGACAACUUGUUGACUAUGAUUAGUCUUGUAGCUUACUCGCUUAUGCUAUUUUACCUACGCUUAGGAUGUUGAUCUCUCACAGUCGAGC